rnacentral:rRNA from 1 species
AGUGGCGGACGGCUGAGUAACGCGUAGKUGACCUSCCCCGAAGUGGGGAAUAACUGCCCGAAAGGGUGGCUAAUACCGCAUGUGGUGCCAUAUUCGUUUGUGGCUCCAAAGCAGUGAUGCGCUUCGGGAGGGGCCUGCGUCCGAUUAGCUCGUUGGUGGGGUAACGGCUCACCAAGGCGACGAUCGGUAGGUGGUCUGAGAGGACGAUCACCCAGACUGGGACUGAGACACGGCCCAGACUCCUACGGGAGGCAGCAGUCGGGAAUUUUGGGCAAUGGGCGAAAGCCUGACCCAGCAACGCCGCGUGAGGGAUGAAGGCCUUCGGGUCGUAAACCUCUUUUAUCAGGGACGAUAAUGACGGUACCUGAUGAAUAAGCCACG